rnacentral:tRNA from 1 species
GUUGUUCAUUGGCGCCGGACUAUCAGCGCCCGGCUUUGCCGGUGCCGCAGCAAUUUUCUUUAAAACAGAAUGCCCUGGUACCGGCUCCUGGUGAAUAUCA